CUGUCCUUGCAACAUCAAGUCCAGGCAGUUGCUCCUUUAGUGUUGCAGCAGUACUUUCUGAUACAAUUCAGAAGAUGUUGUCUGAUGUUUCUUUGGCCAUCUCCUCACUGACAAAUAGAAAAACCAGGGAUCAGAUCAUGAUUCUCAACUCAAAAAGGUCGCUUAGGUAUUGUCGAUCAUGAUGUAGUUCAGCUUAACAAUCUGCACAGGCAGAUUAUCCAUACUGAAGCAUAUAUUGGUCAGUCAAAAGUGGAAUCUGCUGCUGCUGCUUGUCACUCAUAUGUAACACUGGAUUGACUGACUACUUUGAAAACCUGGUCACAUUCUAAAGCAAUGAAGAGAGCCAUCAGUGAACAUUGUGGUGUAUGGACAAUCCCAAUGCUUAGUUACUUUUACUGUUUCCAGUGCAUUGGUAUAAGUUUGCUGAUCUGCUAUACUAAUUUGCUAUUCUUCUGGUGCUGCUGUGAUGUUGCUGUUGUUGCUGAGAUGCUGUGGUGAUGCUGCUGUGAUGGUGAUUGUUACGAUGAGGUGCUGCGGUGUUGUUGAUGUUUGGAAGGGUGCAGGACUUUUUGUCCAAUCUGUAAUAGAUCAGGUUUUCAUUAAUGGGGGUUGUCAUUAGGUGUAAUUUCGGGCAACUGCUGGUGUUUUGGAUGGAAGGGUAUGGAGGGGGUAUUUUGUGUGAUUUCAUAUCAAUGUUAUUAGUUUGUUAUAGUGGUGCCUGAGGGAUGCCUCUUGUAAAGCUGUAAAUCUUUUAAAAAAUUAUAAAUGAGUUUGAAUUAUUUUUGCCGUUGUAAA